GAAGGUAUAGCUCAGUGGUAGAGUGCAUGCUUGGCGUGCAUGAGGUCCUGGAUACAAUCCCUAGUGCCUCCG
rnacentral:tRNA from 1 species